GUUUUCAAAAAUAAAGCUAUGAAAAUACCUUUUUAAGAAAAAAAUUAAAAAACAAUAUUUGUGGAAGGUACAGCACCUUCCAGAUAGACUUGAAAUGCAGCUGCUGUAGAGUUCUUAACUGAGAGAGGUAUCUAUUUUUGAAGGAGUAAUUCCAGUGGCCUCUGUGAUGAACUCUGUACUUGACCCAGAAUAAUGCAGAAUUCCAUAUAACUCAUUUGUAUUACAGAUAUUUUAAAUCAAGACUGUCAUGUCAUCAAAGUUAGGACAAGUACCACUUGUACUUUCCAGUUGUACAGAUCUGAAGUAUUUUAGCAAUUAAGCUGUUGGUAUUAUUAUAUAUAAGCUUACCUAAGUAAAAUCUUGAGUGAAUAUAUAUGUUUUGCAGUCAUGCUGCAAGGCUUAUGAAUACAUGGGAUAUAUAAUGGAAAAGGAACAAGCAUAUAAGGAUGCAGCAAUAAAUUAUGAGAUGGCCUGGAAAUAUGGAAACCAAACAAACCCAACAGUAGGAUACAAGCUGGCUUUCAAUUACCUGAAAGGGAAGAGAUAUGUUGAUGCAAUCCAUGUUUGUCAUAAGGUCCUUGGAGCACAUCCAAACUAUCCAAAGAUCAGAAAGGAAAUACUUGACAAGGCCCGUGCAUCACUAAGAACCUGAACGAGUUUUUUUAUGAGUCAUAGACUUUUGUUUAAUCAGACUUCGGAAGCUAUGAAAUGCUGCAGUGACAGAGACCGUAUCAGCACAGAAGUAUUGUGAAUAGGAUGAAUUUAAUUAUAUUAGAGAUCUGGAUUACUUUCAGGAGAAGUCUGCAACCCUGAAAGAAAUUGUAUUUUUUCUUGUUUAGGAAAGAAUUCUACUCCUAUGUGUGUUUUGUAAAGUGACAUCAUAAAAGAGUGUUGUCAGCAUUAUAAAAUUGUUUUAAAGCAUAUAUCUCAGUAUUUUGUUUUGUUUAUUUGAAAUAGCAUUCAAAAUAACAACCUGUCUUGUCUAGGGGAGAUACAUUGUUAAGAUGGUGGAUUUCAGUUUGUGUAAACCAUUACUUAAUAAUUACAGUGUAAUCUUUAUUCUACAGGUGUAUUUCUAAGUUAUGGAGGCAUUUUUUCUACAUAUAAUAAAGUCAUGCUUUAUUUUUUUUUAAUCUUGAAAAAACAGAUAUGUGCAUUAUUCUCUGUGAAAUUUACAUUUUUAAUGAAAAUGUAAUAGUUAAAAUUAAAAUCCUAUGUAAAUAUUCAGUAAAGACUUUUAUAGAUCAUGCAAGUCUCACAUUUACUUUCUGCUCACAUUGUCUAUUACCCACCUGUCAGAUUUCUAUGAAAAGAAAUGUCCUUAAUUUGCAGUGCUUAGUCUUUCAGCAUUGUAUGUGUAGGCAAUACAGUCAUAUGUGCAGAAAUUAGCACUUAAUUUGUUUAAUCCAUAUAAAACACCUUUUUAGAGAAAUAAUUUUUAUUAGAGGGGAUUAUGAUCUUGUCUCACAUACAGAAUAUACCUGUGUAUCUUUAAGGGAGCAAUAUCAUGUCAUGAAUGAGAGGAAAGAGAAAGUCUACAUUGUUUUCACUGAUGCAGAAUUUUUGAAAAAAAUAAUGGCUAACAAAAGCCACUGUUGUACUGCUGUAUUUGGUUUUCAAACAGCACUUGUAUGUAUCUUACUAGAAAAGUAAUGUUUUGGCAUGAAAAGGGAAUUCUUAAUGCUAGUGAUUAAGUUGCUUUAUUUUAUAAACAAUUUCAGUUUCCUCCUCAGCUGAUUUUAGCUUCUCCUCUUGACAUUGUGUAAAGUCACUUUCAGUGGUUUCUUUUUAUGACAACUGAAUGAUAAGGCUGCAAAAGGCAGCCUGUUUACAAUCAAUCUAAUCUUGCUUAUCAGUACGUGGAUGCUGUAUCUUGAGUAACUUUAUAGCCUUGUUUCCUGAAUACAUGGAUAUGCAUCACUUA